GACGAACGCUGGCGGCGUGCCUAAUACAUGCAAGUAGAACGCUGAAGAGAGGAGCUUGCUCUUCUUGGAUGAGUUGCGAGCGGGUGAGUAACGCGUAGGUAACCUGCCUGGUAGCGGGGGAUAACUAUUGGAAACGAUAGCUAAUACCGCAUAAAAUGGAUUAUCGCAUGAUAAUCCAUUGAAAGGUGCAAAUGCAUCACUACCAGAUGGACCUGCGUUGUAUUAGCUAGUUGGUGGGGUAACGGCUCACCAAGGCGACGAUACAUAGCCGACCUGAGAGGGUGAUCGGCCACACUGGGACUGAGACACGGCCCAGACUCCUACGGGAGGCAGCAGUAGGGAAUCUUCGGCAAUGGACGGAAGUCUGACCGAGCAACGCCGCGUGAGUGAAGAAGGUUUUCGGAUCGUAAAGCUCUGUUGUAAGAGAAGAACGAGUGUGAGAGUGGAAAGUUCACACUGUGACGGUAUCUUACCAGAAAGAGACGGCUAACUACGUG
rnacentral:rRNA from 1 species